UACGGGGGAGCAAGCGUUGUUCGGAUUUACUGGGCGUAAAGGGCGCGUAGGCGGUAGCACAAGUCAGUUGUGAAAUCUCCGGGCUUAACUCGGAAAGGUCAACUGAUACUGUGCGACUAGAGUGCAGAAGGGGCAACUGGAAUUCUCGGUGUAGCGGUGAAAUGCGUAGAUAUCGAGAGGAACACCUGCGGCGAAGGCGGGUUGCUGGGCUGACACUGACGCUGAGGCGCGAAAGCCAGGGGAGCGAACGGG
rnacentral:rRNA from 1 species